rnacentral:misc_RNA from 1 species
UAUGCGAUCCGGCUUGAACGGAGCUCUUUUUAUGAAGCAAAGCGCAAUAAAAAAGCGGGAGUGGAAGACGGAAUUUAUC